rnacentral:rRNA from 1 species
CAGCCGCCGCGGUAAAACGUAGGUGGCAAGCGUUAUCCGGAAUUAUUGGGCGUAAAGCGCGCGUAGGCGGUUUUUUAAGUCUGAUGUGAAAGCCCACGGCUCAACCGUGGAGGGUCAUUGGAAACUGGAAAACUUGAGUGCAGAAGAGGAAAGUGGAAUUCCAUGUGUAGCGGUGAAAUGCGCAGAGAUAUGGAGGAACACCAGUGGCGAAGGCGACUUUCUGGUCUGUAACUGACGCUGAUGUGCGAAAGCGUGGGGAUCAAACAGGAUUAGAUACCCCAGUAGUCCCUGUCUCUUAUAC